rnacentral:rRNA from 1 species
GAAGAACGCAGCGAAAUGCGAAAAGCAGUGAGAAUUGCAGAAUUCAGAGAAUCAUCGAAUCUUCGAACGCACAUUGCGCCCUUUGGUAUUCCAAAGGGCAUGCCUGUUCGAGCGUCAUUUGUACCCUCAAGCUUUUGCUUGGUGUUGGGCGUCUUCUUGUCUCCCCCUUUGCUGGGAGACUCGCCUCAAAGUCAUUGGCAGCCGGCCUACUGGUUUCGGAGCGCAGCACAAGUCGCACUCUCUAUCAGCAAAGGUC